AGUAUAAGCAAUCUAUACCGUGAAACUGCGAAUGGCUCAUUAAAUCAGUUAUCGUUUAUUUGAUAGUACCUUACUACUUGGAUAACCGUGGUAAUUCUAGAGCUAAUACAUGCUAAAAACCUCGACUUCGGAAGGGGUGUAUUUAUUAGAUAAAAAACCAAUGCCCUUCGGGGCUCCUUGGUGAUUCAUGAUAACUUAACGAAUCGCAUGGCCUUGUGCCGGCGAUGGUUCAUUCAAAUUUCUGCCCUAUCAACUUUCGAUGGUAGGAUAGUGGCCUACCAUGGUUUCAACGGGUAACGGGGAAUUAGGGUUCUAUUCCGGAGAGGGAGCCUGAGAAACGGCUACCACAUCCAAGGAAGGCAGCAGGCGCGCAAAUUACCCAAUCCCGACACGGGGAGGUAGUGACAAUAAAUACUGAUACGGAGCUCUUUUGGGUUUCGUAAUUGGAAUGAGUACAAUUUAAAUCCCUUAACGAGGAACAAUUGGAGGGCAAGUCUGGUGCCAGCAGCCGCGGUAAUUCCAGCUCCAAUAGCGUAUAUUAAAGUUGUUGCAGUUAAAAAGCUCGUAGUUGAACCUUGGGCCUGGCUGGCCGGUCCGCCUCACCGCGUGCACUGGUCCGGCCGGGCCUUUCCUUCUGGGGAACCGCAUGCCCUUCACUGGGUGUGUCGGGGAUCCAGGACUUUUACUUUGAAAAAAUUAGAGUGUUCAAAGCAGGCCUAUGCUCGAAUACAUUAGCAUGGAAUAAUAGAAUAGGACGUGUGGUUCUAUUUUGUUGGUUUCUAGGACCGCCGUAAUGAUUAAUAGGGAUAGUCGGGGGCAUCAGUAUUCAAUUGUCAGAGGUGAAAUUCUUGGAUUUAUUGAAGACUAACUACUGCGAAAGCAUUUGCCAAGGAUGUUUUCAUUAAUCAGUGAACGAAAGUUAGGGGAUCGAAGACGAUCAGAUACCGUCGUAGUCUUAACCAUAAACUAUGCCGACUAGGGAUCGGGCGAUGUUAUUAUUUUGACUCGCUCGGCACCUUACGAGAAAUCAAAGUUUUUGGGUUCUGGGGGGAGUAUGGUCGCAAGGCUGAAACUUAAAGAAA
rnacentral:rRNA from 1 species